ACUCUGGCAUUAACUGUUGCUGAUGCAAAACAAACAUUUUUCGAAACUGUUUGAGGCCAAAAACAUUAGCUAAAGUAACGCGUUAGCAGACCUGUGUUUAACCAAAGAAGAUGUCUGCCUUUCUCAAACACUCACCUUCGGCUUCCACGUGGGUUUGGCAGUAUAUUGGAGGGGUUGUUUCGAGAGGUCAUCCCCACGUUUGCGGCAUUUUACUUCCCCGCUCUUCUCAAAGAACGAGAAGAGAGUGGCCUGGAGUGGUGUGCCAGGCUAGAGGACAGAUUCUCCAACAAUCAUGUAUUCAAUGUAAACAUACUGUAUCAAACUAGAAAAGUACAUUUCCUGAAGAAAAUGUGGUUGUGCUUGUUUUAAAGUAUUUGUGGUUUUGAAAUAAUUAAUAGUAGUGGCAGUGACUGGUUAUAGUUGAAGGGGAAAAAAGUAGGUGUUAGGUAAGAUUAUUUGGCUGAUUGAUAAAUGUAUUCUAUAGGAUAGCUUAAACGUGUAAAAGUUGGAUUGGUACCUCUAGCUUGAAUGGUUCAAGAGAAUUUCUAUAGUCAUAGUUGAAUUUUAGGUUAGGAUAGCCUGAACAUGAGAGUUGGUUUGGUGUCUAGCUUGAACGGUUCAGGAGUUUAUGUUGGUGAGUUAUUUUAUGCUAAUGUAUGCCAUUUUAUGUACUUAUAGUUAAUAAAGAUUUCAGAUCAUUUGAAGUUAGGAUAG